GGACCUGAUCGCGUGCUUACCAUGCAGUCGAACGAUGAUCCCAGCUUGCUGGGGGAUUAGUGGCGAACGGGUGAGUAACACGUGAGUAACCUGCCCUUGACUCUGGGAUAAGCCUGGGAAACCGGGUCUAAUACCGGAUAUUACCUUUCACCGCAUGGUGGGGGGUGGAAAGCUUUAUUGCGGUUUUGGAUGGACUCGCGGCCUAUCAGCUUGUUGGUGAGGUAAUGGCUCACCAAGGCGACGACGGGUAGCCGGCCUGAGAGGGUGACCGGCCACACUGGGACUGAGACACGGCCCAGACUCCUACGGGAGGCAGCAGUGGGGAAUAUUGCACAAUGGGCGCAAGCCUGAUGCAGCGACGCCGCGUGAGGGAUGACGGCCUUCGGGUUGUAAACCUCUUUCAGUAGGGAAGAAGCGAAAGUGACGGUACCUGCAGAAGAAGCGCCGGCUAACUACGUGCCAGCAGCCGCGGUAAUACGUAGGGCGCAAGCGUUAUCCGGAAUUAUUGGGCGUAAAGAGCUCGUAGGCGGUUUGUCGCGUCUGCCGUGAAAGUCCGGGGCUCAACCCCGGAUCUGCGGUGGGUACGGGCAGACUAGAGUGAUGUAGGGGAGACUGGAAUUCCUGGUGUAGCGGUGAAAUGCGCAGAUAUCAGGAGGAACACCGAUGGCGAAGGCAGGUCUCUGGGCAUUAACUGACGCUGAGGAGCGAAAGCAUGGGGAGCGAACAGGAUUAGAUACCCUGGUAGUCCAUGCCGUAAACGUUGGGCACUAGGUGUGGGGGACAUUCCACGUUUUCCGCGCCGUAGCUAACGCAUUAAGUGCCCCGCCUGGGGGAGUACGGCCGCAAGGCUAAAACUCAAAGGAAUUGACGGGGGCCCGCACAAGCGGCGGAGCAUGCGGAUUAAUUCGAUGCAACGCGAAGAACCUUACCAAGGCUUGACAUGGGCCGGACCGGGCUGGAAACAGUCCUUCCCCUUUGGGGCCGGGUUCACAGGUGGUGCAUGGUUGUCGUCAGCUCGUGUCGUGAGAUGUUGGGUUAAGUCCCGCACGAGCGCACCCUCGUUCCAUGUUGCCAGCGCGUAAAGGCGGGGACUCAUGGGAGAACUGCCGGGGUUCAACCUCGGAGGAAA
rnacentral:rRNA from 1 species